rnacentral:tRNA from 1 species
GCUUAGUUGGUAGAGGACAAGACUUUUAACCUUGUGGACGUGGGUUCAAGCCCCAU